rnacentral:SRP_RNA from 1 species
ACCAGGGCCCUAUAGUUACAGCUACUCAGGAGACCGAGGCGGGAGGAUGGCUUGAGCCCAGGAGUUCAAGGCUAUAGUGCACUGUGCCUAUCGGGUGGCCGCACUAUGUUUGGGAUCGAUAUGGUGACCUACUGGCAGCAGGGGACCACCAGGUUGCCUAAGGAGGGGUGAACUUGCACAGGUCAGAAACAGAGCAGGUCAAAACUCCCGUGCUGAUAUGUAGCAGGAUAGCAUCUGUGAACAGCCACUGCACUCCAGCUUGGGCAAAACAGCCCCCUCUCUU